GGAAAGUCUCAUUGUUGGCAGAUUCUUUUUUUAAGUUAAGAUGUGAGGUAUUGGGUGCCAAUAUUGUGAAGAGUGGCUCUACAACAUUUGCUGUUUAUUCCAUAUCUGUUACGGAUAUAAAUAAUAAUAACUGGUCUAUCAAAAGAAGGUUUCGGCAUUUUGAGGAACUCCAUCGACGUCUUAAGGAGUUUCCAGAGUAUAAUCUG